rnacentral:ncRNA from 1 species
UUUUUUAAGAGUUUGAUCCUGGCUCAGGAUGAACGUUGGCGGCGUGCCUGAGAUAUGCAAGUCGAGCGAUGUCCCGACGCAAGUUGGGAUAAAGCGGCGGACGGCUGAGUAACACGUAGGAACCUACCUCAAAAUAGGAGAUAGCCCAUCGAAAGAUGGGGUAAUAUUCUAUAGUCCCCGCCUUUGGCGGGGUAAAGACCGUAACUGGUCGUUUCGAGAUGGUCCUGCGGCCUAUCAGGUAGUUGGGAGGGUAACGGCCUACCAAGCCUAUGACGGGUAGCUGGCCUGAGAGGGUGUCCAGCCAGAGGGGUACUGAGACACGGACCCCAUUUCUACGGAA